rnacentral:rRNA from 1 species
GAUGAACGCUGGCGGCGUGCCUAAUACAUGCAAGUCGAGCGGACAGACGAGGAGCUUGCUCCUCUGACGUUAGCGGCGGACGGGUGAGUAACACGUGGAUAACCUACCUAUAAGACUGGGAUAACUUCGGGAAACCGGAGCUAAUACCGGAUAAUAUAUUGAACCGCAUGGUUCAAUAGUGAAAGACGGUUUUGCUGUCACUUAUAGAUGGAUCCGCGCCGCAUUAGCUAGUUGGUAAGGUAACGGCUUACCAAGGCAACGAUGCGUAGCCGACCUGAGAGGGUGAUCGGCCACACUGGAAGUGAGACACGGUCCAGACUCCUACGGGAGGCAGCAGUAGGGAAUCUUCCGCAAUGGGCGAAAGCCUGACGGAGCAACGCCGCGUGAGUGAUGAAGGUCUUCGGAUCGUAAAACUCUGUUAUUAGGGAAGAACAAAUGUGUAAGUAACUAUGCACGUCUUGACGGUACCUAAUCAGAAAGCCACGGCUAACUACGUG